rnacentral:rRNA from 1 species
CCAGACUCCUACGGGGGCAGCAGUGGGGAAUAUUGGACAAUGGACCGAGAGUCUGAUCCAGCAAUUCUGUGUGCACGAUGAAGUUUUUCGGAAUGUAAAGUGCUUUCAGUUGGGAAGAAAAAAAUGACGGUACCAACAGAAGAAGUGACGGCUAAAUACGUGCCAGCAGCCGCGGUAAUACGUAUGUCACGAGCGUUAUCCGGAUUUAUUGGGCGUAAAGCGCGUCUAGGUGGUUAUGUAAGUCUGAUGUGAAAAUGCAGGGCUCAACUCUGUAUUGCGUUGGAAACUGUAUAACUAGAGUACUGGAGAGGUAAGCGGAACUACAAGUGUAGAGGUGAAAUUCGUAGAUAUUUGUAGGAAUGCCGAUGGGGAAGCCAGCUUACUGGACAGAUACUGACGCUAAAGCGCGAAAGCGUGGGUAGCAAACAGGAUUAGAUACCCUGGUAGUCCACGCUGUAAACGAUGAUUACUAGGUGUUGGGGGUCGAACCUCAGCGCCCAAGCAAACGCGAUAAGUAAUCCGCCUGGGGAGUACGUACGCAAGUAUGAAACUCAAAGGAAUUGACGGGGGCCCGCACAAG